CGAUUGGUUCUAUUUUGUUGGUUUCUAGGACCAUCGUAAUGAUUAAUAGGGACGGUCGGGGGCAUCAGUAUUCAGUUGUCAGAGGUGAAAUUCUUGGAUUUACUGAAGACUAACUACUGCGAAAGCAUUUGUCAAGGACGUUUUCAUUAAUCAAGAACGAAAGUUAGGGGAUCGAAGAUGAUCAGAUACCGUCGUAGUCUUAACCAUAAACUAUGCCGACUAGGGAUCGGGCGGUGCCUUUUAUUGGCCCACUCGGCACCUUACGAGAAAUCAAAGUUUUUGGGUUCUGGGGGGAGUAUGGUCGCAAGGCUGAAACUUAAAGGAAUUGACGGAAGGGCACCACCAGGAGUGGAGCCUGCGGCUUAAUUUGACUCAACACGGGGAAACUCA
rnacentral:rRNA from 1 species